AGUGAACGCUGGCGGUAGGCCUAACACAUGCCAGUCGAACGGCAGCACAGUAAGAGCUUGCUCUUACGGGUGGCGAGUGGCGGACGGGUGAGGAAUACAUCGGAAUCUACUUUUUCGUGGGGGAUAACGUAGGGAAACUUACGCUAAUACCGCAUACGACCUACGGGUGAAAGCAGGGGAUCUUCGGACCUUGCGCGAUUGAAUGAGCCGAUGUCGGAUUAGCUAGUUGGCGGGGUAAAGGCCCACCAAGGCGACGAUCCGUAGCUGGUCUGAGAGGAUGAUCAGCCACACUGGAACUGAGACACGGUCCAGACUCCUACGGGAGGCAGCAGUGGGGAAUAUUGGACAAUGGGCGCAAGCCUGAUCCAGCCAUACCGCGUGGGUGAAGAAGGCCUUCGGGUUGUAAAGCCCUUUUGUUGGGAAAGAAAAGCAGCAGGUUAAUACCCCGCUGUCCUGACGGUACCCAAAGAAUAAGCACCGGCGAACUGCGU
rnacentral:rRNA from 1 species